GCCUUUUGUACUUCCUCAAUUGUUAGUAAAAAUAUUCUAAUUUGAUUUUGUGAUUUAAUGUUGCUUUGUGAUAUGCCCACCAGAUGCUCGUUGAAAUUUCCAACUGGCAGAAGCCUUUUUCUUGAAAAAGCUUGACAAGUGAUAAAGAUGGGUUUAAGAAUUUAUUGCAUUCAGGGAGUUUAAGGAUUUCAUUACUUGAGAAGGACCCUGCAAAGAGGCGGACCAUUACGCCGCUAUUGUUCCAUUGCUAUAUCUUUCAAUAUGGUCCUUUGAUCAAUAAUGGUGGCAGGAGCGAUCAAGUGCAUCAGUCUAAUCUGUUCUUCCUUUAUCUUGUCAUUUUUCAUCUUCUUGAUUGUUGCUUUUGGAUAAUUGUUAAACUUAUUAAUUUUGUGGGUUGGAUUCUGGUUUACAAUUCUGGGUCUAAACUGAUUAUAGAAUCU
rnacentral:lncRNA from 1 species